rnacentral:rRNA from 1 species
AACGAACGCUGGCGGCAUGCCUAACACAUGCAAGUCGAACGAGACCUUCGGGUCUAUUGGCGCACGGGUGCGUAACGCGUGGGAACCUGCCCUUAGGUUCGGAAUAACUCCCCGAAAGGGGUGCUAAUACCGGAUAAUGUCUUCGGACCAAAGAUUUAUCGCCUUUGGAUGUGCCCGCGUUGGAUUAGCUAGUUGGUAGGGUAAAAGCCUACCAAGGCGACGAUCCAUAGCUGGUCUGAGAGGAUGAUCAGCCACACUGGGACUGAGACACGGCCCAGACUCCUACGGGAGGCAGCAGUGGGGAAUAUUGGACAAUGGGCGAAGGCCUGAUACAGCCAUGCCGCGUGAGUGAUGAAGGCCUUAGGGUUGUAAAGCUCUUUUACACGGGAUGAUAAUGACAGUACCGGGAGAAUAAGCUCCGGCUAACUACGUG